rnacentral:lncRNA from 1 species
GAAUGACAGAGUCCUUCAUUACAAUUAUCUGCUCCUGCUGUUGAUUUCCCAUUUUUCUCAGCAGUCCCUGGCUCUUCCCUUGGAGAUGAAUCUCAUCCCUGUGGCAGCAGAAGCUGAUGAGCUUUGAAGGGGCAGAGGGAGUCUCUGUGCAAUCAGUGCAGACAGUGCAGUGCUGGGCCAGAAGUGUUGAUGUGUGACAGACACAUUAUGGUGACCUCUGCUUUUUCAGAAGCAUCACUUCGUGUCCAAGGAAAGGAAUACACUGCCCUGUUCAGGUGUUGAAGAGGUUAUUGUGGUGUCAUUUGACUUCAGCAAGACACCACUCUGAAUCUUACCAUUUAGGAAUGGAGCAGCAGGGAUGUGCUGGUGCUGUGGAAGCUCAGAUCAAGGCUUUGUCAGAUACAGAAACUUCAUGAGAAUCUCACUUCUAAUUUUUGCUGGACAAUUUAAUUUUGCCUCUGACCCCGGCACUCCUGACGCUCACUGGGUGAUGUGA